CGACGACGGAAUUGAGGUUACAACAUCUGGAGCAUAUCCGUCAAAGGUGAAACAGGUAUUCCAAUAAAGUCAACCUAUUCAUGAUGGCGGUCGUACACUUUUAAAAGAAUAACUCUAACGUCACUGUUUGAAGUCGAUUGUUUUAUAGAAAUAAGAAGAAAUGGUAUGAGUGGCAAUAAGACAGCUCUCCACAAUAGACCAACAUGACACAG
rnacentral:lncRNA from 1 species